AGAGCGAACGCUGGCGGCAGGCCUAACACAUGCAAGUCGAGCGCCCGUAGCAAUACGGGAGCGGCAGACGGGAUAGUAACACGUGGGAACGCGCCCUUCGGUUCGGAAUAACUCAGGGAAACUUGAGCUAAUACCGAAUACGCCCUUACGGGGAAAGAUUUAUUGCUGAAGGAACGGCCCGCGUCCGAUUAGCUAGUUGGUGAGGUAAUGGCUCACCAAGGCUACGAUCGGUAGCU
rnacentral:rRNA from 1 species